UUCUACGGGGGGCAGCAGUGGGGAAUAUUGCACAAUGGGCGAAAGCUGAUGCAGCGACGCCGCGUGAGGGAUGACGGCCUUCGGGUUGUAAACCUCUUUCAGCAGGGAAGAAGCGCAAGUGACGGUACCUGCAGAAGAAGCACCGGCUAACUACGUGCCAGCAGCCGCGGUAAUA
rnacentral:rRNA from 1 species